AGCGAACGCUGGCGGCAGGCUUAACACAUGCAAGUCGAACGGUCCUUCGGGAUAGUGGCGGACGGGUGAGUAACACGUGGGAACGUACCCUUAGGUUCGGAACAACACAGGGAAACUUGUGCUAAUACCGGAUAAGCCCUUCGGGGGAAAGAUUUAUCGCCUUUGGAGCGGCCCGCGUCUGAUUAGCUUGUUGGUGAGGUAAUGGCUCACCAAGGCUACGAUCAGUAGCUGGUCUGAGAGGAUGGCCAGCUACACUGGGACUGAGACACGGCCCAGACUCCCACGGGAGGCAGCAGUGGGGAAUCUUGCGCAAUGGGCGAAAGCCUGACGCAGCCAUGCCGCGUGGAUGAUGAAGGUCUUAGGAUUGUAAAAUCCUUUCACCGGGGACGAUAAUGACGGUACCCGGAGAAGAAGCCCCGGCUAACUUCGUGCCAGCCGCCGCAGUAA
rnacentral:rRNA from 1 species